AGAAAGAAAGAAAGAAAGAAAGAAAGAAAGAAAGAAAGAAAGAAAGAAAGAAAGAAAGAAAGAAAGAAAGAAAGAAAGAGAGAAAAAAAGUUGGAUACCACUGAGAGAGCAUGUGAACUGGGUCCGGUUUCCCACAAUGCCAAGUGUGUACAGAGAUAUGAGUCGUGGUCACUCAGGGGUGGAGCCCUCCUCUGUUCCUACAUCACCACAGAAACAGGCCUCUCAUUUUGUUAUCACUUACAGACUAAAUUGGGGCUACAUUGGAAUUGCCCCACUUGACCAACGAUCGCCGCCCUACUAGGGAAUAUGCUCUUUAAGGAAUAGCUAACACUUGGGAACUGAUAAAUGGGAUUGACAAUAAUCUGUGGAUAAUAUGUAGUUGUUUAGUUGUCUUCCUCUUCACUUUUUGGUUGGUGGUCUCUGCUGUUUGCUUGUCAACAGCCCUGUGGAGUGCCCAAGCCUGUGGCUAUUCCCAUUUCUCCUGGUAUUCCCAGUUCUCCUCCUGGCUUGGCUGGGCUCCUCUCCAGCUUCCUGUAGUGGAGUGUUUGGCAUCACACCGUGCCCAGGAACACACAUUGCAGCCAUGCCUGUGGGCAUGAAGUGUGCGUGUGGGAGAGAGAGAGGGAGAGAGAGGGAGUGUCAGGGGAGGUAGAGUAAAGGUACUGUCUCUCUCAAACACACACACACACACACACCACUUAGCAGUGCUACACUUUCUCACAUGGUUGUGGGCUUCCUUUUCUUUACUAGUUUUUGUUGGUCGCUGAGAAAGACAUACCCUCUGUGUUUGGUAGAGCAGGAGUCAGAGGAGAGAAAGACAUACCCUCUGUGUUUGGUAGAGCAGGAGUCAGAGGAGAGAAAGACAUACCCUCUGUGUUUGGUAGAGCAGGAGUCAGAGGAGAGAAAGACAUACCCUCUGUGUUUGGUAGAGCAGGAGUCAGAGGAGAGAAAGACAUACCCUCUGUGUUUGGUAGAGCAGGAGUCAGAGGAGAGAAAGACAUACCCUCUGUGUUUGGUAGAGCAGGAGUCAGAGGAGAGGACAGGAGAGGGGACAGACUCAUCCAGGUGGACAGAGGUAGGAGUGGACAGAGGGGGACACCCAUGGAGGAAGGUCACUCUGAUAUUUCCCACUACUGACCCCCUUGUCUUGCAUAGCCAGACAUCGUAUUCUUGCAAUCGCAAAAAUCAAAGCUAGUGACACGUUGAUGACUCGGCUGGUAUUCUUGUGCUUUCUCAGGAAAUGGGAGGCUGUGGAGGAUAUGACAAACAGCCCUCAUUCAGUCAGCAGACUAACUGGACAGCUCUACUGUACGCCACAGGGGACAGACCUUUGGCAGGCAGAGAGGUCGCUGAGCUCUGAGAACAACAGUUAGUUGGGUGGGUGAGUAACAUUGUAACACUCAUGUUUGUUGGAUGAGUUCUAGAAUAGAAGACGAGUAGACUGGUUAGAUGUUGUUACUUAUUUCUUACAGUCAUUUAUUGUUGAUAGAUAAUGAUUGCUGUAAUGAAUUGUGCAUACAAAAUUGUAUCAUUGUCUUAUACUGUCUAAUAUUGUAAUGUGUUAUGUUUUCUUUAUGUUGACGUGACGAGAAUAGUAUCUAAAGAUAUGAUAUUAUUCUUAUAAUGUUGCUGCAGAUCUUCUUCACAGCUCUACUGUUAAGAGGCAGUGUCCAAAGUGUGGAGGAUGAUGUCACACGUCAGCUGUCCUCAUCGCUGGGCUACCAUGGCAACGACAUUCAUCAGAAUGACUUCCUGCAAAAGCAAAGCACUGUCACGAUCACUUUCUGUACUGACAGAUCACUUUACAAGGAUAAUUAUUGUGUUUGCGUAAGGUUACGCAUUGAAAUGCUAUGCCAAAUGAGUGGACUGUCUUUGUAAAUCUACUUGUCAUCCAUGUCACAACUGCUGCACAGAGUUUCUAAAUAAGCAAAGUGUCCUCCAAAAUCUUUGCUGCUGCCACGCAACCACUGCAUCCCUAUUGUCCGGCAGGGAAAGUCUUCCCCCAGAGGCUGGUUUCACAUGGUGGUUUAGAUUAAUGUUCCCAGUGUCUAGCACCAUUUGAAAUCAGUGUUCUUGGGGACAGGAGAACAGCACUGGGCCUCUGGUAGUGUCAGUCAGUCUAUUGGAGCCAUCCUCUCUCUCUCUCUCUCUCUCCCCUUUAAAGGAUGACUGAUUUCCUCUGGUGUUUAGAGCCCCUUACAGCCUUCUAGCACCAUUUGAAAUCGGUUAUAAUGACUGGGGAUCAAUGCCUCAAUGUCUUCACGAUGUCUACACGUCAACUCUACAGUCAAGCAGACAGGAAAUGAAUUUGAUGAAUGUUCAUAUUGUACGUGUCACAGGGUCUGCUCUACAGAUUGGACAGUUGGACAGGAGCUCAUUUCCAGUGGGACAGUUUUAAAGUUUUUAUUGAAUAAAUGUUCAAUAAAACUGAAUUGAUAGUGCAUACUUA